rnacentral:miRNA from 1 species
CCGUGCUGCCAGAGCGCAUGAC